AAAUUCGAGGUCGAAUUUUUUUUAAGGGGGGGAGAAUGUAACACCCGGAAUUUUUUAUUUUUAUAUAUUUAAUAAUGAGUUUUUAUUUAAGUUAAUUUUAGCCUCAUUAUUAUUGGAUUUAAUUUGAAAUGAUUAUAUUUUGGUUAUUCAAAAUUUUCCCAAAUGCAUAUUUAUAUAAGUAAAAUUAUAUAUUGGAAAAUUAUGGUAGAAUUGUAAAGGAUGUGUUUAUAAAAGAAUUUUGGAAAAAUUGAUUAUUUAAUUUAAUUGUGUGUAGGAUUUAAUUGGAAAUUUAUUUUGGAAUAAGGAUUGAAAGUAUAAUGUUAUUUUUAUGGGGUUUUAAUGAAAAUUUGUGAGUUUGGUAUUUUCGUAAAUAA
rnacentral:lncRNA from 1 species